CUAGUGUAAACAUUGAUUUGUCAACCAAAAUCCGCCUGGGAACUACGAGCGCAGCUUGAAACCCAAAGGACUUGGCGGUGCCUUAGACCCCCCUAGAGGAGCCUGUUCUGUAACUGAUGCCCCCCGUUUAACCUCACCCUCCCUUGCUUUUCCCGCCUAUAUACCGCCGUCGUCAGCUCACCCUACGAAGGCUUCAAGUGAGCAAAAUUGGCAACCCCUAAAACGUCAGGUCGAGGUGUAGUACAUGAGAGGGGAAGAAAUGGGCUACAUUCGUUUAUCAACGACACGAAUGACUUAUUGAAACAUUUGCUGAAGGAGGAUUUAGCAGUAAGAAGGGACUAGAGAGCCUUCUGAAACCGGCCCUGAGGUGCGCACACACCGCCCGUCA
rnacentral:rRNA from 1 species